CCCUUAGAUGUUCUGGGCUGCACGCGCGCUACACUGAAGCUAUCAACACGUUUUCCCUCCCUGAGAAGGGCGGGUAACCUUUUGAAUCAGCUUCGUGGUAGGGAUCGGGGCUUGCAAUUGUUCCCCGUGAACCAGGAAUUCCUAGUAGACGCGAGUCAUAAGCUCGCAUCGAUUAAGUCCCUGCCCUUUGUACACACCGCUCGUCGCUACUACCGAUUGAACGUUUUAGUGAGGCAUUUGGACCGACGCAUCUCAGUUUAACCGCUGGUUUGUGUUGGAAAGACUUCCAAACUUGAGCGUUUAGAGGAAGUAAAAGUCGUAACA
rnacentral:rRNA from 1 species